AACAUGGUCCCUCCAUAUGAAAAGGUUUGCUUAGUAAUAAUCCUUUGGUAAUCAAUCGUUUUGGUGUGGGCUUCAGACAAUUUAGAAAUCAAAUAUGCCCCACAUAUUCUUUCUUAGAUAAAUUUAACAAAAAGUUCAUCUACUUGGCCAAUACAUUAAAAGUUGACUUCUUAAUUAAAUUUUCAGAAGUAUAAUUGAUUUACUUUGAAUUAAUUAUCUGUUUGUUUGUCUGCAGACGAUGUACUCAGGAGUGGGGG
rnacentral:misc_RNA from 1 species